UUCCGCCCUCACGGACCUCCACCCCAUCCACCGAGACCUGCUGGGGCUGCUGGCUCGCUUUGAGGGCAUUGAAACAGCUGCCGUGGGUCUCAACGAUAGAGUCGGCACCCAAGACAGGCCAAAUGACAACCCCAAGCAAGAAUUGACCGAGAGCGAGAGUGAGAGUGAACUCGAGAGUGACAACGAAGGUGAGAGACCGAAGCGCCAGCCCGCCCCAGGCAAGAGAAAGCCCCGCCAACCCACUACCAUGAGGAAAAGACCCAAGCUCUCUGCCCUGAAACAAACCUUCAUGCCCUCGACACAGACACACCCUAGGGCAUCUGAGGUCAGCAUGGGGGAUGUUUUUGAGGCCACACACACACAGGGGUCAAAGAGGCUGGAGGUCAGGUUGAAAAAUGUCUCUCUACCAACUGUGGAAGAUUCGUCAAGGCUGGAGGCGCCAAUGGAAAGUGGCAGUUUUGGGAAGAUUGAGCGCCAUCCACUGCCAGUUUGGGUCUGGAAAGCUUGGCGGAGUGGCCCAGAGAGGCGGACAACUACAUGAGGAGGGAGGACAUCCUAGCCAACAGGGUGGACAAGUCAGAAUGGCCCAUCCUUCCUGUCUUCAAGAACUACAGUCCAGGAGAACCCUCAGCCAAGCUCUACAUCAAGAACCUGGCCAAGGCAACGAGUGAGAGGGACCUGAAACACAUAUUUGGC